GGAGAGCUUGCUCUCUGGGUGGCGAGUGGCGGACGGGUGAGGAAUACAUCGGAAUCUACCUUUUCGUGGGGGAUAACGUAGGGAAACUUACGCUAAUACCGCAUACGACCUUCGGGUGAAAGCAGGGGACCUUCGGGCCUUGCGCGGAUAGAUGAGCCGAUGUCGGAUUAGCUAGUUGGCGGGGUAAAGGCCCACCAAGGCGACGAUCCGUAGCUGGUCUGAGAGGAUGAUCAGCCACACUGGAACUGAGACACGGUCCAGACUCCUACGGGAGGCAGCAGUGGGGAAUAUUGGACAAUGGGCGCAAGCCUGAUCCAGCCAUACCGCGUGGGUGAAGAAGGCCUUCGGGUUGUAAAGCCCUUUUGUUGGGAAAGAAAAGCAGCCAGUUAAUACCUGGUUGUUCUGACGGUACCCAAAGAAUAAGCACCGGCUAACUUCGUGCCAGCAGCCGCGGUAAUACGAAGGGUGCAAGCGUUACUCGGAAUUACUGGGCGUAAAGCGUGCGUAGGUGGUUGUUUAAGUCUGUUGUGAAAGCCCUGGGCUCAACCUGGGAAUUGCAGUGGAUACUGGACGACUAGAGUGUGGUAGAGGGUAGUGGAAUUCCUGGUGUAGCAGUGAAAUGCGUAGAGAUCAGGAGGAACAUCCAUGGCGAAGGCAGCUACCUGGACCAACACUGACACUGAGGCACG
rnacentral:rRNA from 1 species